rnacentral:sRNA from 12 species
CGCCGCCGCACGGUGCCUUCGGGCACCCUUGGUGGCAGGCGUAAAAAAACGGUGGAGCGGCUGCAAAAGAGCCGCCCCACCGGGUAAAAUCAGAAAUGAAAGAAGCGGACCCCGCGCAGGUGGCUAACCGGUUACGCGGGCGAUGCGGAUUUCAGGUUCAAAGGCCGGGGCUGCAACCCCGGC